rnacentral:rRNA from 1 species
UACGUAGGGGGCGAGCGUUGUCCGGAAUUAUUGGGCGUAAAGAGCGUGUAGGCGGUUCGGUAAGUCUGCCGUGAAAUCCUGGGGCUCAACCCCGGGCGUGCGGUGGAUACUGCCGGGCUAGAGGGUGGUAGAGGCGAGUGGAAUUCCCGGUGUAGCGGUGAAAUGCGCAGAUAUCGGGAGGAACACCUGUGGCGAAGGCGGCCCCCUGGUUGGAUACUGACGCUGAGGGGCGAAAGCUAGGGGAGCGAACGGG